rnacentral:rRNA from 1 species
UACGUAGGUCCCGAGCGUUAUCCGGAUUUAUUGGGCGUAAAGCGAGCGCAGGCGGUUAGAUAAGUCUGAAGUUAAAGGCUGUGGCUUAACCAUAGUACGCUUUGGAAACUGUUUAACUUGAGUGCAGAAGGGGAGAGUGGAAUUCCAUGUGUAGCGGUGAAAUGCGUAGAUAUAUGGAGGAACACCGGUGGCGAAAGCGGCUCUCUGGUCUGUAACUGACGCUGAGGCUCGAAAGCGUGGGGAGCCAAACAGGAUUAG